rnacentral:rRNA from 1 species
AAAGAUUAAGCCAUGCAUGUCUAAGUACAUGUGUAAUUAAACACGAAACCGCGUAUGGCUCAUUAUAACAGCUAAAAUUUACUUGAUUUUGACUUUUAUCCUACAUGGAUAACUGUGGUAAUUCUGGAGCUAAUACAUGCAUAAAAGAUAUAACAUUUAUAUGUUAUAUUGCGUAUAUUAGUAUUAAAACCAAGCAUUCUUCGGAAUGUUUUGUGUUGAAACUGAAUAUAUCAUGCUGAUCGUAUGGUCUUGUACCGACGACAUGUCAUUCAAGUGUCUGAUCUAUCAACUUUCUAUAUAAGUAUAUAGUACUUAUAUGGUUUUGACGGAUAACGGGGUAUUAGGGUACGACUCCGGAGAAAAUGCCUGAGAAACGGCGUUUACAUCCAAGGAAGGCAGCAGGCGCGAAAAUUACCCACUCUCAGUACGAGGAGGUAGUGACGAGAAAUGACAAGAUCUAUUCCUUCGGGGAUGGAUCAUUGGAAUGGUUUGAUUUUAAAAUCAUUAAAGAGUAUCAAUGAGAGGGCAAGUCUGGUGCCAGCAGCCGCGGUAAUUCCAGCUCUCAUACUGCAUUGAAUUGUUGUUGCGGUUAAAAAGCUCGUAGUUGGAUCUGUACAUGAUAGGUUAGUUCAUCUUUUGGAUUGUAACUAAUACUAAAUGUUUUUUAUUAGAUUUUUUUAGUUCUUUACGGAAUUAAAAUGUCUAAUGAGUUUACUUUGAAUAAAUCAGAGUGCUCAAAACAGGCGUAAGCUUGUAUGGUUUUGCAUGGAAUAAUAGAACAUGACUAUGGUUCAUGUUUUAUUGGUUUUACUUACCAUAGUAAUGAUUAAAAGGAACAAACGGGGGCAUCCGUAUCGCAGGGCGAGAGGUGAAAUUCGUGGACCCUUGCGAGACGAACUACAGCGAAAGCAUUUGCCAAGAAUG